GUCUGGUGGCGAGUGGCGAACGGGUGAGUAAUGUAUCGGAACGUGCCCAGUAGCGGGGGAUAACUACGCGAAAGCGUAGCUAAUACCGCAUACGCCCUACGGGGGAAAGCAGGGGAUCGCAAGACCUUGCACUAUUGGAGCGGCCGAUAUCGGAUUAGCUAGUUGGUGGGGUAACGGCUCACCAAGGCGACGAUCCGUAGCUGGUUUGAGAGGACGACCAGCCACACUGGGACUGAGACACGGCCCAGACUCCUACGGGAGGCAGCAGUGGGGAAUUUUGGACAAUGGGGGAAACCCUGAUCCAGCCAUCCCGCGUGUGCGAUGAAGGCCUUCGGGUUGUAAAGCACUUUUGGCAGGAAAGAAACGUCAUGGGUUAAUACCCCGUGAAACUGACGGUACCUGCAGAAUAAGCACCGGCUAAUUACGUGCCAGCAGCCGCGGUAAUACGUAGGGUGCAAGCGUUAAUCGGAAUUACUGGGCGUAAAGCGUGCGCAGGCGGUUCGGAAAGAAAGAUGUGAAAUCCCAGAGCUUAACUUUGGAACUGCAUUUUUAACUACCGGGCUAGAGUGUGUCAGAGGGAGGUGGAAUUCCGCGUGUAGC
rnacentral:rRNA from 1 species